rnacentral:rRNA from 1 species
CGCGGCCUAUCAGCUUGUUGGUGAGGUAAUGGCUCACCAAGGCGUCGACGGGUAGCCGGCCUGAGAGGGUGACCGGCCACACUGGGACUGAGACACGGUCCAGACUCCUACGGGAGGCAGCAGCGGGGAAUAUUGCACAAUGGGCGAAAGCCUGAUGCAGCAAUGCCGCGUGAGGGAUGACGGCCUUCGGGUUGUAAACCUCUUUUAGCAGGGAAGAAGCGAAAGUGACGGUACCUGCAGAAAAAGCGCCGGCUAACUACGUGCCAGCAGCCGCGGUAAUACGUAGGGCGCAAGCGUUAUCCGGAAUUAUUGGGCGUAAAGAGCUCGUAGGCGGUUUGUCGCGUCUGCUGUGAAAUCCCGAGGCUCAACCUCGGGCCUGCAGUGGGUACGGGCAGACUAGAGUGCGGUAGGGGAGAUUGGAAUUCCUGGUGUAGCGGUGGAAUGCGCAGAUAUCAGGAGGAACACCGAUGGCGAAGGCAGAUCUCUGGGCCGUAACUGACGCUGAGGAGCGAAAGGGUGGGGAGCAAACAGGCUUAGAUACUCUGGUAGUCCACCCCGUAAACGUUGGGAACUAGUUGUGGGGUCCAUUCCACGGAUUCCGUGACGCAGCUAACGCAUUAAGCUCCCCGCCUGGGGAGUACGG